AUUGAACGCUGGCGGCAGGCCUAACACAUGCAAGUCGAGCGGAUGAAGGGAGCUUGCUCCUGGAUUCAGCGGCGGACGGGUGAGUAAUGCCUAGGAAUCUGCCUGGUAGUGGGGGAUAACGUCCGGAAACGGGCGCUAAUACCGCAUACGUCCUGAGGGAGAAAGUGGGGGAUCUUCGGACCUCACGCUAUCAGAUGAGCCUAGGUCGGAUUAGCUAGUUGGUGGGGUAAAGGCCUACCAAGGCGACGAUCCGUAACUGGUCUGAGAGGAUGAUCAGUCACACUGGAACUGAGACACGGUCCAGACUCCUAAGGGAGGCAGCAGUGGGGAAUAUUGGACAAAGGGCGAAAGCCUGAUCCAGCCAUGCCGCGUGUGUGAAGAAGGUCUUCGGAUUGUAAAGCACUUUAAGUUGGGGGGAAGGGCAGUAAGUUAAUACCUUGCUGUUUUGACGUUACCAACAGAAUAAGCACCGGCUAACUUCGUG
rnacentral:rRNA from 1 species